rnacentral:lncRNA from 10 species
AGCCAAUAGUAAGAUAGUCAAUUUAAUAAAUGACCUCAAUAUAAGAAGAGAAAUCUCUCUUGCAAUGGGUGAUGCAAGGACUCUGUUCUCUUUUUUUUUCUUUCUCUGUUACUCUCAGUACACCACCCUGAAGCCUCUAUGAAACUUAUCUCUGAUCUGUGCAGACAGAGUACAGAAUGAUUUAGUUCCUUUAAAUGGGUCUUCUCUGUGAGGCCCUCUUACAGCAUUUUAGGCAGAAGCCAUCUAAGUGAGUAAAUGCUAACAAGAUUGAAGGGACUGGAUGAAAGGAGACCCUGAGUCCCAUUUAGAUUCUUUUAUUUUAGCAGGUAGUCACCCUGUUUAGGUUUUCUGUGCAGGGCUUGGCCUAAUGUUGUGGGCUAUGGGUCAACAUUUUUCUUUUCAGAGCCUUCGUGUUAUUAUUUUGGUCUGCUUGGUUUACCUGGUGCCACUGCGGAUCCCACUGGUCCCUGUGGUGUUUCCUGAGUGGGUGGAAGGAGCGCUCCAGGCCAGGUUGCCUGCUGCCUCUUGCUAGGGGAAGGAGGUCUCCUGCACAUAGUGACAAAAAGUGUUUUCUAGGCUGGGUCACUUGUGGAAACAUGAUUCUCUUUGCUGGUGCCACCAGCCACCUGGUGUCUCUACAUGGGAGAAAAUGUUUUCUGGACAGUGAGGAACAUGAAGCUUCCUGAGACAGGCUGGUUAUUGGGACAAGUUUCCUCUUGCCAUUGCAACCUGGCAGUCCAGCAUCUCUGGGUUGGGAUGAGGAGAGUCUCAGGCUCAUGGGGGAAAGAUAGCAUUGCCUCUGGCAACUUCUUUUGAGCAGAGCCCCUGAAGAAUUUCUGUUGCUACAUCCGCCAGGCUUGCUGGGUGUUUUCAGCAGCCUCUCCAUCCAGGAAAGGAACGAGUCUACCUGGGCUGCCUUCUGUUGCUAGAUUGGGAGUUAGGAAACAUCAAGCCUGGAGAGCAUUCUUUGAGGCCCAAAAUGCAUCCAUACUUUAUGUAGAAUUCAUAUCAAUGGAAAAAAUCAGCUGAGAAGACUGAAAAGGAAGAGAUGCCGUUAUUUUUGCUUUUAAACAGG